ACUCCUACGGGAGGCAGCAGUGGGGAAUAUUGCACAAUGGGGGAAACCCUGAUGCAGCCAUGCCGCGUGUGUGAAGAAGGCCUUCGGGUUGUAAAGCACUUUCAGUAGGGAGGAAGGUAGUGUAGUUAACACCUGCAUUAUUUGACGUUACCUACAGAAGAAGCACCGGCUAACUCCGUGCCAGCAGCCGCGGUAAUACGGAGGGUGCGAGCGUUAAUCGGAAUUACUGGGCGUAAAGCGCAUGCAGGCGGCCUGUUAAGUCAGAUGUGAAAGCCCGGGGCUUAACCUCGGAAUUGCAUUUGAAACUGGCAGGCUAGAGUCUUGUAGAGGGGGGUAGAAUUUCAGGUGUAGCGGUGAAAUGCGUAGAGAUCUGAAGGAAUACCAGUGGCGAAAGGCGGCCCCCUGGACAAA
rnacentral:rRNA from 1 species